GUGUAUGAUACUUCAGCAGCACAUAUGAAAAAUUAGAAUACAGAGAAGACUAGCAUGGCCCCUGUGCAAGAAUGAUAUGCAAAUUCAUGAAGCAUUCCAUAGUUUA
ensembl:snRNA U6 U6 spliceosomal RNA